rnacentral:rRNA from 1 species
AUGCCAGCAGCCGCGGUACUACCGGCAGCCCGAGUGAUGGCCGAUCUUAUUGGGCCUAAAGCGUCCGUAGCUGGGUCUGAAAGUCCGUCGGGAAAUCCACUCGCCCAACGAGUGGGCGUCCGACGGAAACUGCACAGCUUGGGACCGGAAGGCUCGAAGGGUACGGCCGGGGUAGGAGUGAAAUCCUGUAAUCCCGUCCGGACCACCGAUGGCGAAAGCACUUCGAGAAAACGGAUCCGACAGUGAGGGACGAAAGCUAAGAUCGCGAACCGGAUUAGAUACCCCGGUAGUCC